GUGGGGAAUCUUCCGCAAUGGACGAAAGUCUGACGGAGCGACGCCGCGUGAGUGAAGAAGGCCUUCGGGUCGUAAAGCUCUGUCAUCAGGGACGAACGGCCGGUGGAGUGGAAAGCCACCGGAUUGACGGUACCUGAGAAGGAAGCCACGGCUAACUACGUGCCAGCAGCCGCGGUAAUACGUAGGUGGCAAGCGUUGUCCGGAAUUAUUGGGCGUAAAGUGCGCGCAGGUGGGAUCUUAAGUCCAUUUUUAAAGUUCGGAGCUCAACUCCGUGAUGGGAUGGAAACUGGGAUUCUUGAGUACCGGAGAGGAAAGCGGAAUUCCCCGUGUAGCGGUGAAAUGCGUAGAUAUGGGGAGGAACACCAGUGGCGAAGGCGGCUUUCUGGACGGUGUCUGACACUGAGGCGCGAAAGCCAGGGGAGCGAACGGGAUUAGAAACCCGAGUAGUCC
rnacentral:rRNA from 1 species